rnacentral:rRNA from 1 species
CACGUAGGGGGCAAGCGUUGUCCGGAUUUAUUGGGCGUAAAGGGCUCGUAGGCGGUUCGACAAGUCGGGUGUGAAACCUCCAGGCUCAACCUGGAGACGCCGCUCGAAACUGUUGUGACUAGAGUCCGGUAGAGGAGUAUGGAAUUCCUGGUGUAGCGGUGGAAUGCGCAGAUAUCAGGAGGAACACCAGUAGCGAAGGCGAUACUCUGGGCCGGUACUGACGCUGAGGAGCGAAAGCAUGGGGAGCGAA